UACGUAGGGCGCAAGCGUUGUUCGGAAUUAUUGGGCGUAAAGAGCUCGUAGGCGGCUUGUCACGUCGGGUGUGAAAGACCGGGGCUUAACCCCGGUUCUGCAUUCGAUACGGGCUGGCUAGAGUGUGGUAGGGGAGAUCGGAAUUCCUGGUGUAGCGGUGAAAUGCGCAGAUAUCAGGAGGAACACCGAUGGCGAAGGCAGCUCGCUGGGACGGUACUGACGCUGAGGCGCGAAAGCGUGGGGAGCAAACAGG
rnacentral:rRNA from 1 species